UACGUAGGGUGCGAGCGUUGUCCGGAAUUACUGGGCGUAAAGCGUGCGCAGGCGGUUUUGUAAGUCUGUCGUGAAAGCCCCGGGCUCAACCUGGGAAUUGCGAUGGAGACUGCAAGGCUUGAAUCUGGCAGAGGGGGGUAGAAUUCCACGUGUAGCAGUGAAAUGCGUAGAGAUGUGGAGGAACACCGAUGGGCGAAGGCAGCCCCCUGGGUCAAGAUUGACGCCUCAUGCACGAAAGCGUGGGGAGCAAACAGG
rnacentral:rRNA from 1 species